ACAAAGCUGAUGUGAAAUGUGUCGGCACUCGUCUUCGUUUCAACCCGGAGGAAGAUUGGCAGCAUCAAUAAGAAGCUCAUCUUUAUGUCAACUGUUGAAAGGAUUUGUUUGCAUUAUAAUAUAAGUUUAAAAUACAUUUAAUCUGCAUAUUAUUUGAAGUUUUAUAGGAAUGGAACAUUUAAAUGGAUCAUGGACGACUAUCCACCGACGAAGAAUUUGUCAUAGAGCUGAUGGAAAAUGUGUCGGCACUCGGCUUCAAUUCAACACGGAGGACGUCUAGCAGCAGCAAAAAGAUAUUCAACUGACGAUAAUUAACUGUCGAAAGGAUUUGUUGUGAAGAAGAAUUUGUCAUUUUUCUGAUGGGAAAUGUGUCGGCACUCGGCUUCAAUUCAACACGGAGGACGUCUAGCAGCAGCAAAAAGAUAUUCAACUGACGAUAAUUAACUGUCGAAAGGAUUUGUUGUGAAGAAGAAUUCGUCAUUGAGCUGAUGGAAAAUGUGUCGGCACUCGGCUGUAUUUCAACACGGAGGACGUCUGGGAGCAGCAAAAAUAAAUUCAACUGAUGAUAAUCAACUGUCGAAGUGAAGAAGAAUUCGUCAUUGAGCUGAUGGAAAAUGGUCGGCACUCGGCUGUAUUUCAACACGGAGGACGUCUGGCAGGAGCAAAAAGAAAUUCAACUGAUGAUAAUCAACUGUCCAAGUGAAGAAGAAGUUGUCACAAAGCUGAUGUGAAAUGUGUCGGCACUCGUCUUCGUUUCAACCCGGAGGAAGAUUGGCAGCAUCAAUAAGAAGCUCAUCUUUAUGUCAACUGUUGAAAGGAUUUGUUUGCAUUAUAAUAUAAGUUUAAAAUACAUUUAAUCUGCAUAUUAUUUGAAGUUUUAUAGGAAUGGAACAUUUAAAUGGAUCAUGGACGACUAUCCACCGACGAAGAAUUUGUCAUAGAGCUGAUGGAAAAUGUGUCGGCACUCGGCUUCAAUUCAACACGGAGGACGUCUAGCAGCAGCAAAAAGAUAUUCAACUGACGAUAAUUAACUGUCGAAAGGAUUUGUUGUGAAGAAGAAUUUGUCAUUUUUCUGAUGGGAAAUGUGUCGGCACUCGGCUUCAAUUCAACACGGAGGACGUCUAGCAGCAGCAAAAAGAUAUUCAACUCACGAUAAUUAACUGUCGAAAGGAU